UUGGUGUGUUCAGAGCUGGUGUCCCUCAGACCAUGGACAGCUGGUUUAUACCACACCAAAGAGUACAGUGGAGCACUGAAGAGAGUUAGAUUUACAAAGACAAUCAGUCUAAGCUUCAAAUGG